rnacentral:rRNA from 1 species
AGCGAACGCUGGCGGCAGGCCUAACACAUGCAAGUCGAACGAAGCCUUCAGGCUUAGUGGCGGACGGGUGAGUAACACGUGGGAACGUACCUUUAGGUUCGGAACAACUCAGGGAAACUUGAGCUAAUACCGGAUAAGCCCUUCGGGGGAAAGAUUUAUCGCCUUUAGAGCGGCCCGCGUUAGAUUAGCUAGUUGGUGAGGUAAAGGCUCACCAAGGCCACGAUCUAUAGCUGGUCUGAGAGGAUGAUCAGCCACACUGGGACUGAGACACGGCCCAGACUCCUACGGGAGGCAGCAGUGGGGAAUCUUGCGCAAUGGGCGAAAGCCUGACGCAGCCAUGCCGCGUGAAUGAUGAAGGUCUUAGGAUUGUAAAAUUCUUUUACCAGGGACGAUAAUGACGGUACCUGGAGAAAAAGCCCCGGCUAACUUCGUGCCAGCCGCCGCCGUAAAAC